GAGAGAGAUGGAGAAAGAGAGACAGAGUGAGAGAGGGGGAGAAAUGGGCAGAGAGAGAGAGAGAGAGAGAGAGAGAUGGAGAAAGAGAGAACACAAAGGAAUGGGAGAUAGAGAAACAGAGAAACAGAGGGAGAGAGAAGGCCAGGAGAAAAUAAAAAUGUUUUCUUAAUGUCGAAGCAGAAAGCGUGAGAACAGCCACAGCAGUCUGGAGGAACAUUGUAUCUGUCUGUCAGAAGAAAAGCUUGGCAGCAGAAGGAGAGAAUGAGAGUCUAUAAAAGAACCCUGUCUGAAUGAGAGGAGGAGGGGACAGAGAGAAAGGAGAGAAAGAACCAUUUCCUGCUAAAUCACAUUACCAUGAGUGUUGAUUAGAUGGACAACCGUACACCAGGGAACUGCAGAAACUUCCUCAGGGGAUGAGGUUGAUUCGUGAGGCUCUCCUACCCAACGUUCUGAGAAUCACACAUUGAGACACGAACCCCUAGAUAUAACAGCGCAAACUGGCUCUAACCAGACUAGAAAGAGGAGUGGGAGGCCCCGGUGCACAAUUGAGCAAGAGGACAAGUACGUUAGAGUGUCUAGUUUGAGAAACAGUACCCUCACAAGUCCUCAACUGGCAGCUUCAUUAAAUAGUACCCAUAAAACACCAGUCUCAACGUCAACAGUGAAGAGGCGAC